rnacentral:misc_RNA from 1 species
AAAUUGCGUUACCAUGGUGAUCCGCAGACUUUUGUGAAACCAUUGGAUUCCUAAUGCACCCGGCGCCAGUCAUGUUUUUUACAUCACCGGCAUGGCUUCAGCAAUCACUAAUUUUACACCAUUCAUUUGUGAUGGAUUAUGCUCUUCUGAGCGUUGAUGUUCUUAUUCGUUUUUAUGUGACAAGUCGCCUUUUCAGAUGCUACUUAUUGUUCAGUAUACGGGGUUGUCUUUUUAUACUGUAUCAUGCGGUGCUUCAUAAUAAUUGGUUGGACUAUCACUACCUGUUUUAAUAAUUGGGUGUUGCUGUUGCCAAGUUUACCCGCUGAACUUAA